UAAAACCACAGUAUCCAAAAAGAAACUGUGCUCUACUACCUGCGUAGCUAAAAGAUUCAGCGAAGAGGACAGAGCGGAAGGGCGCUGUUGUGGAUCCUAUACCGAGGACAGAAGACUUUGUUGUAGCUUUUUGUUGAUUCUACUGAGAAUUGAAAGCUUUGUUGCCGAGUUUGAACCAACGUGGGAUUGAAGACUUUGUUGCUGACAGGAGAACUUUUUGUACUGGACACUUCAAGAGAUUGAGUUUCCAAAACAGCGGACCAAAAGUCUAAGCUUCAAGGAACUGCGAAUACUGAACGGGAUGAAGCAACGGAGCCAGCACUACCACCCGGAGCAUCUACACUGCCACAACACCUCAACCUAUUCCAGCACCCUGAGGACAUGCACUUGCACACCCCCUCAACCCGUGUGUGCACCAUUGGGACUGUUUUAUUAUUUUGGGGACCUUUUCGUUUGUGACUCAGAAGCCCAUUGUUUAAAUCCCUGAAACCGUUGUUGGUAGGAGAGGAGAGUUUUUAUUUAAUAAAAACGGGACCAUUGUAAAUAUA